UACGAAGGGGGCUAGCGUUGUUCGGAAUUACUGGGCGUAAAGCGCACGUAGGCGGAAUGUUAAGUCAGGGGUGAAAUCCCGGGGCUCAACCCCGGAACUGCCUUUGAUACUGGCAUUCUCGAGUCCGGAAGAGGUGAGUGGAAUUCCGAGUGUAGAGGUGAAAUUCGUAGAUAUUCGGAGGAACACCAGUGGCGAAGGCGGCUCACUGGCCCGGUACUGACGCUGAGGUGCGAAAGCGUGGGGAGCAAACAGG
rnacentral:rRNA from 1 species